GCCUCCUUAGCUCAGUUGGUCAGAUCGCCUGCCUAGUAAGCAGGAAGUCAGCGGUUCAAAUCCGCUAGGAGGCA